rnacentral:sRNA from 1 species
AGCAGCCGCGGUAAUUCCAGCUCCAAUAGCGUAUAUUAAAGUUGUUGCAGUUAAAAAGCUCGUAGUUGAAUUUCGGGGUUAGUAGAUUGGUCAUGCCUCUGGUAUGUACUGGUUUCACUGAUUCCUCCUUCCUGAUGAACCGUAAUGCCAUUAAUUUGGUGUUGCGGGGAAUCAGGACUGUUACUUUGAAAAAUUAGAGUGUUUAAAGCAGGCAAGCGCUUGAAUACAUUAGCAUGGAAUAAUGAAAUAGGACGUUCGAUCCUAUUUUGUUGGUUUCUAGGAUUGACGUAAUGAUUAAUAGGGAUAGUUGGGGGCAUUAGUAUUCAAUUGUCAGAGGUGAAAUUCUUGGAUUUAUUGAAGACUAACUACUAGCGAAAAGCAUUUGCCAAGGAUGUUUUCAUUAAUCAAGAACGAAAGUUAGGGGAUCGAAGACGAUCAGAUACCGCCGUAGUCUUAACCAUAAACUAUGCCGACUAGGGAUCGGAUGAU